rnacentral:rRNA from 1 species
UAACCUACGGGAGGCAGCAGUCGGGAAUAUUGCGCAAUGGAGGAAACUCUGACGCAGUGACGCCGCGUAUGGGAAGAAGGUUUUCGGAUUGUAAACCAUUGUCGUUAGGGAAGAAGAAGUGACAGUACCUAAGGAGGAAGCUCCGGCUAACUAUGUGCCAGCAGCCGCGGUAAUACAUAGGGAGCGAGCGUUAUCCGGAUUUAUUGGGUUUAAAGGGUGCGCAGGCGGCGAGUUAAGUCAGCGGUAAAAUUUCGGGGCUCAACCCCGACGAGCCGUUGAAACUGGCUUGCUAGAGUGGGCGAGAA